rnacentral:rRNA from 1 species
AACGCGAAGAACCUUACCAGGACUUGACAUGCACCGGAAAACGGCGGAAACGUCGUCCUCCCGCAAGGGACCGGUGUGCAGGUGUUGCAUGGCUGUCGUCAGCUCGUGUCGUGAGAUGUUGGGUUAAGUCCCGCAACGAGCGCAACCCCCGUGGCAUGUUGUACCACUCAUGCCAGACUGCCGAGAGAAACUCGGAGGAAGGUGGGGACGACGUCAAGUCAGCAUGGCCCUUACGUCCUGGGCUACACACACGCUACAAUGGCCGGUACAACGGGUUGCCAAACCGCGAGGUGGAGCUAAUCCCAUAAAGCCGGUCUCAGUUCGGAUUGCAGGCUGAAACUCGCCUGCAUGAAGCCGGAGUUGCUAGUAACCGCAGGUCAGCACACUGCGGUGAAUAUGUUCCCGGGCCUUGUACACACCG